AGAGCGAUCGGAUAGUGGUUAUUCCGCCACAUUGCUAUUAUGUGGUGCCUUCGGGCUCGGGAGUUCGAAUCUCCCUCGUUCUG
rnacentral:tRNA from 1 species